rnacentral:tRNA from 2 species
GCCUCCGUGGCGCAAUCGGCUAGCGCGUUCGGCUGUUAACCGAAAGGUUGGUGGUUCGAGCCCACCCGGGGGGG